UUGAUCCUGGCUCAGAAUGAACGUUGGCGGCGUGGAUUAGGCAUGCAAGUCGUGCGAGAAGCCCUCUUCGGAGGGUGGACAGCGGCGAAAGGGAGAGUAACGCGUGGAUACCAACCCCCAGGACCGGGAUAGCCGCGGGAAACCGCGGGUAAUACCGGAUAAUGUCUCCGGACCAAAGGUGUGAUUCCGCCCGGGGACGGGUCCGCGUCCUAUUAGCUUGUUGGUGAGGUAACGGCUCACCAAGGCGACGAUGGGUACCGGGUGUGAGAGCAUGGCCCGGCUCACUGGGACUGAGACACUGCCCAGACACCUACGGGUGGCUGCAGUCGAGAAUCUUCGGCAAUGGACGCAAGUCCGACCGAGCGACGCCGCGUGCGGGAUGAAGGCCUUCGGGUUGUAAACCGCUGUCAGAGGGGAGGAAAUCCUGUGGGGUUCUCUCCACAGGUUGACCUAUCCUCAGAGGAAGUACGGGCUAAGUUCGUGCCAGCAGCCGCGGUAAGACGAACCGUACAAACGUUAUUCGGAAUCACUGGGCUUAAAGGGUGCGUAGGCGGCCCUGCAAGUUGGGUGUGAAAGCCCUCGGCUCAACCCAGGAAUUGCGCCCAAAACUGCGGGGCUUGAGGGAGACAGAGGUGAGCGGAACUUAGGGUGGAGCGGUGAAAUGCGUUGAUAUCCUGAGGAACACCUGUAGCGAAAGCGGCUCACUGGGUCUCUUCUGACGCUGAGGCACGAAAGCUAGGGGAGCGAACGGGAUUAGAUACCCCGGUAGUCCUAGCUGUAAACGUUGAGCACUUGGUCGGAGAGUCCUCCAUAGCUUUCCGGUCGCAGCGAAAGUGAUAAGUGCUCCGNCUGGGGAGUAUGGUCGCAAGGCUUGAAACUCAAAGGAAUUGACGGGGGCUCACACAAGCGGUGGAGGAUGUGGCUUAAUUCGAGGCUACGCGUAGAACCUUAUCCUGGG
rnacentral:rRNA from 1 species